rfam:Capsicum annuum cultivar Zunla-1 chromosome 10, whole genome shotgun sequence
UAGUGAUGGUAUGGACAAUUUAUCAAGUAUCUCUUGUAUCUCUCCUGAGAUUGGGAAAAGGAUUCAACAUCUUUCUGAACAAAUCUAAAAAUCCUACUUCUGAGUUA